rnacentral:rRNA from 1 species
UAGGGAAUCUUCGGCAAUGGGGGGAACCCUGACCGAGCAACGCCGCGUGAGUGAAGAAGGUUUUCGGAUCGUAAAGCUCUGUUGUUAAGGAAGAACGAGUGUGAGAAUGGAAAGUUCAUGCUGUGACGGUACUUAACCAGAAAGGGACGGCUAACUACGUGCCAGCAGCCGCGGUAAUACGUAGGUCCCGAGCGUUGUCCGGAUUUAUUGGGCGUAAAGCGAGCGCAGGCGGUUAGAAAAGUCUGAAGUGAAAGGCAGUGGCUCAACCUUUGUAGUUUCUGGUAUCUGUUUUACUUGAGUUCAAAAGGGGAGAGUGGAAUUCCAUGUGUAGCGGUUAAAUGCGUAGAUAUACGGAGGAACACCGGUUGCGAAAGCGGCUCUCUGGUCUUUAACUGACGCUGAGGCUCGAAAGCGUGGGGAGCCAACCGG